rnacentral:rRNA from 1 species
GACGAACGCUGGCGGCGUGCUUAACACAUGCAAGUCGAACGCUGAAGCUCAGCUUUUGUUGGGUGGAUGAGUGGCGAACGGGUGAGUAACACGUGAGUAACCUGCCCCCUUCUUUGGGAUAACGCCCGGAAACGGGUGCUAAUACUGGAUAUUCACUUGCCUUCGCAUGGGGGUUGGUGGAAAGGGUUUUUUCUGGUGGGGGAUGGGCUCGCGGCCUAUCAGCUUGUUGGUGGGGUGAUGGCCUACCAAGGCUUUGACGGGUAGCCGGCCUGAGAGGGUGACCGGUCACAUUGGGACUGAGAUACGGCCCAGACUCCUACGGGAGGCAGCAGUGGGGAAUAUUGCACAAUGGGCGAAAGCCUGAUGCAGCGACGCCGCGUGAGGGAUGGAGGCCUUCGGGUUGUAAACCUCUUUCGCUCAUGGUCAAGCCGCAGCUUUGGGUUGUGGUGAGGGUAGUGGGUAAAGAAGCGCCGGCUAACUACGUGCCAGCAGCCGCGGUAAUACGUAGGGCGCGAGCGUUGUCCGGAAUUAUUGGGCGUAAAGGGGCUUGUAGGCGGUUGGUCGCGUCUGCCGUUGAAAUCCUCUUGGCUUAACUGGGGGGCGUGCGGGGGGUACGGGCUGACUUGAGUGCGGUAUGGGGAGACUGGGAACUCUUGGUGUAGCGGUGGAAUGCGCAGAUUUCAGAUGAACACCUGUUGGCUAAUGCGGUCUCUGGGCCCGUUCUGACGCUGAGGAGCUAAGCGUGUGGAGCGUACAGG